CACAUUUGGUUGAGCUUCGUAAUAUGUUGUGCCACCCAGGGAUUACUCGUUUGUAUAAGUUUUGAGAUCUAAAAACAUGCGCUACUCUCAAGAGGAAAUAGGACGGUUGGAUUGUAUAGCGUAAGUGCAGAACGCCCCAUGAAUGUAAACAGUUCAACUGGAACAUUAUAGCAUUCAAGUUUUCCAGAUAUCAUCAGAAAAAGGUAAUUAAAAUUCAUUGAAAUGACAUAGCAAUCGGUCUUUCACAGAAACAAAAUUGUUGGUGCUCGUAUGGUAGGCGCUAGCGUAACGAAAACAGCCGAAAUGUUUGGUGUAUCAAGUAAUGACAGCCUUUGAGAAAGAGGUAAAACCCUCCUCGUCGAAGCAAAACUCUCGAAGAAAAAAACACAAAAUUUUUCAGUUAGGUGCCGUCGGACUCUUACGUGAAUUGUUAGAAAGUAUCAGAAAAGUACAGCUCCCAUACUUACCGCAGAGCUUAAUCUCCACCUCAAGAACCCAGUUUCCACAAAAAACUAUUCGCCGGGAGCUGCACAAAGCCAGAUUUCACUGGAGGGCUGCAAUCAGAAAACCACUACUUUCAAAAACA